GCAAUGCCGCGUGCAGGAUGAAGGCCUUCGGGUUGUAAACUGCUUUUGUACGGAACGAAACGGCUCUUUCUAAUAAAGAGAGCUAAUGACGGUACCGUAAGAAUAAGCACCGGCUAACUACGUGCCAGCAGCCGCGGUAAUACGUAGGGUGCGAGCGUUAAUCGGAAUUACUGGGCGUAAAGCGUGCGCAGGCGGUUAUAUGAGACAGAUGUGAAAUCCCCGGGCUCAACCUGGGACCUGCAUUUGUGACUGUAUAGCUAGAGUACGGUAGAGGGGGAUGGAAUUCCGCGUGUAGCAGUGAAAUGCGUAGAUAUGCGGAGGAACACCGAUGGCGAAGGCAAUCCCCUGGACCUGUACUGACGCUCAUGCACGAAAGCGUGGGGAGCAAACAGGAUUAAAUACCCUGGUAGUCCAGGCCCUAAACGAUGUCAACUGGUUGUUGGGUCUUCACUGACUCACUAACGAAGCUAACG
rnacentral:rRNA from 1 species